CCUACGGGGGGCAGCAGUGAGGAAUAUUGGUCAAUGGGCGGAAGCCUGAACCAGCCAAGUAGCGUGCAGGAUGACGGCCCUACGGGUUGUAAACUGCUUUUAUACGGGAAUAACGCGCCUUACGUGUAGGGUUUUGCCUGUACCGUAUGAAUAAGGACCGGCUAAUUCCGUGCCAGCAGCCGCGGUAAUACGGAAGGUCCGGGCGUUAUCCGGAUUUAUUGGGUUUAAAGGGAGCGUAGGCCGCAUGUCAAGCGUGCUGUGAAAUGUCCGGGCUCAACCCGGGCCUUGCAGCGCGAACUGGCGUGCUUGAGUCCGCGGAAAGCAGGCGGAAUUCGUCGUGUAGCGGUGAAAUGCUUAGAUAUGACGAAGAACCCCGAUUGCGAAGGCAGCUUGCUGCAGCGGAACUGACGCUGAUGCUCGAAAGCGCGGGUAUCGAACAGGAUUAGAUACCCUUGUAGUC
rnacentral:rRNA from 1 species